GUGAGGUAUCAGAGAAUAUCUGAUUUUUUUCUCAAUUUUUGCUUUUGGUAAUUAAGGUGUUAAUUAUUUGUGCAGAUUGAUUGAUGGACUAAUUGUUUCAGUUAUAAAUAUUAGUACAUGUUUUAGUGUGUUAGAGGUUUAACGUCAACAGAGCGAGAUGUAACAGUUCACAUAACACACACUGUGUCUCAGACUAUGGAGCUCUGCUGCUACAGCAGCACCUUCAUUUGUCUACAGUUCAUGACAUGUUCAACCUAUAGAUAACGCUUCUCCUCAGCAACUGUGUAGAGUUCCCAUCACAUCACCCAAUCACCCACAUACACAGUAUACAACCCAACCCCAGACCCACCUACACUUCCUGAGUAUGUUUUAUGGCUCAGCUGUCAGGCCUCAGAUGGUAGAAAACUCACCCUGCCAUCCAACAUCACCAACCCUGCACACUUCACUCCACGUCCUCAGCCCCUCCUUGCUCCUCUCCGCUGUGCAUUUCUUGGUUGUUCUAGUGUCAGCUAACAACGCUGAAGCAGUCACGCUUCCCUGCUCCGGUCCCAUUCCACAGACCUAAUCAUCUUAUAGCUAACAAUGUAUUUACUGUAGAGCCAUGUUUCUUACGCAUGACACACACACACACUGAUGGCAUGUCUGGCGCUGGAGCUUAGCCUCUGCUGAGGUUUAUGUACCACAAGUAUGUAUGUUAAUUUUGUGUUGUAGAUGUUUUAAUUUCAAAUUAGCAACUCAAAGACAUUGGAAAACACUUGAAGCAUUUUAGCUCGAUGGAAAAUAAUUCAAAGAGGUAAAAUCCAGAUGACGACAUUUAUUCUCUUCCUUUUUAAAAACUUAAAAAAACAUUUUGGAGCGUGUUUAAUCAGUAUUCAUUUGUCAGUAUUGCAUGUCAAACUGCUGUGUGUUAAUAAUUCAGUGGAUUUACGUGCAUUACCCCCUGGUUAGGGGGACAGAGUUGCCCCAGUAACUAUCUGCUUGCUCGGCCACACACAAGUAAAACACACAGAUCGUAGUGCACAGGACACUAAAUGAUUAUCAUCUGACUCACUUGAGUGAUUAAUUUGUCAAUUUGUGUUUUGACAAGCCCACCUGAGUUUUUACUGUAGAGCUAAUCAGUAACAUGUUGAGAUUAUGUGUCCCAACGUGGACAGUCUGGUACAGUUAAAGUUUAUCUGCUUUUCUGUGUACAGUGUGUGUAAUCUAAUGACACUUCCUGUCGACAAACAUUGAUGACGCUUCUCUUUUCAGACUUAUGUGAAUCUUAUGUCACACCAGCAGUCACGUCUACAUGUCGCUUUAAGGGCAGAAACUCAAUCAGCUGUCUCUCUCCUUUAUUUAACCAGAUACAAAUCAGUUAAGAGAAAUGAGGAACUCUGAACUCUUUAUCUCCGCGUUUUAGGAAGAAGGCGGCGGCCUGCUGAGUCCCCUUAUGGAAACUGGCUUUCAUUCAGAAAACAAUAACAAAAUCAGCAGUAUCCCUCUCUGUGAGGAUCAAACUGUGGUCAGACAAUGAUGGUUGAGUCUCCUCGGACUUGUGAAAAGGGCAGCACAACAAGUCAAGGCAUGUUCCAACACGCCACCAACAGCCGGACCUGGUGUAUGAGCCUGCUCCUAGACCAGAAGGGGGAGGAGCAGAGGAUCAGAGAAGGGGGGAAACCCAGAAGAGACCCAGCAUGACUCAGCCUGCUUCAAUUGGUUCUUGGAGGAGUGUUGCAUAUCCUCCACAACAACCCGUGUCAUCUGGAUAUGUGUGUUGAAUCCUGGCCUACAUUCACUACUGCCAUUUGUUACCGUCAAAAACAGCGUUUCAGCAGCAGCAGUAGCAGCUUCGGGGUGAUUCCUGACAUAUGCACCAUCUUCACCAAGAACUCAGAAACUCUGAGAAGUCUGCUGCUUGAUGAGAGUCAUAAACUGGAGGAGUGGACUCAUAUUCAGAGGUAUACCAAGCUCACACUGUCAUCUCAUCAGAGAACUUGCUGCUCUCAGUGGGCUCGAUAUCACAGAAUAUGGGGGUUAUGACACCUUCAUCCACCACAACCUGGAGAAUAUGGACUGGCAAGAGAAGGUGUUGCCUCUGCCAAUUUCCAUUCUGGAUGAGUCCCACGCUGAGCUCGUGGACACGCACUUGCCUUAUGUAGGCAAUGAGGAGAGCCUCAACCACGUGAGAGCCUGUAUCCACCAUCUGCCAAACCACUGUGUGACGGAUGAGAAGGGCCAGCCUGUCACCUCCCGGCACUGUCUUUGGCUCCGAUCCGGAGGAUGAGCUCUGUGGGUCUGCCCGUCUACUGCCACGUCAGCCAGUAUAACCAGGCCACCAUUAACGCUGUGACCUCACUCAGCUUCUCUGCGUGUCCCAGUGUGGAGAAGAUCUAAGUGCUGCUCAUAUGCAAGGACAGAGUGUGAGGGAUCCAAACUAAUGACAAUAAAGUCUGUCGGGUGAUUGAAACCACACUGGAAAACUGAUGUUUUAUUGUAAAACUGGAAAAUAUAACAAUUACUCUCCUUGUUCUAUGGUUUCUGUUUCCCUGCAGUACUCAGGGGAUGCAGCACUUUAGAGAGUUUAGUCAGUUGCAAGUAGGAGAAACUCAAAGUAACAUUUUCUGUGGUUUUAGGGUGGAUUUGAUGAAUAUGCCAGCCACACUGCUCUUUUUUGUUCACUGUAAAAAGAAGCUACACAAAUGUCACUCAAUUUAAAAUAAAUCAGU